rnacentral:tRNA from 1 species
CCCGAGGGUGGCCGGGCAGGCCACGGGCGGUGCCUGUCGUGCGCCGCUCCGGUGCCGCCGGUCCCGGCCGGGCGGCUCCGGCCCGUCGGGG